CCAUGGGGAUCUGGGGGCUCCCAAAGGGAUCCAGGGAUUCCAGAGAUCCCCUGGGAUCACCAGGGAGGGGAGAAUUUUCCUGGGAUUUUGGGGGAUUUGGGGGAAAAAUCAGCUCGGCGGGGGGGGAGGCCUUUCCUGGAUUUCCCCUGAUUUUCCCAAAUUUUUUUUUGCUUUUUCCCCAAUUUUUUUUUCCCAUUUUUUUUCCCAUUUUUCCCCAUUUUCCCAGCCUCCCCUCCCCCAUCUCCCUUCCCAAAUUUCCCCAAAUUCCCGGGCUGGGCUCAGGCUUUGCUGGGAAAGGCUCUGGGGGGGUUUGGGGGUCCCCAGCCCCACCCCAGCCCCUUCUCCUGAGCCAAAUUCCCAAAUUUCUGCAGCCCAAGCUGACCCCGCAGGAGAAGCUCCGGCUCAGGAUGCAGAAGGCUCUCAACAGGCAGUGUGAGCGUGCCCAAAUCCCCCAAAUUCCUCAAAAUUCCCAAAAAUUCCCACAAAAUUCCCCAAAAUCCCACCUGGAAUUGCUCAAAAUCCGCCCCUAAAUCCAGCCAGGAUCACCUGAAUCUCCUGAAAUUCCCCCAAAAUCCACCCAAAUCCACCCAAAAUUCCCCCCAGAUCCACCCAAAAUUCCCACUAAAUAUCCCGGGAUUCCCAAAAUUCUUCAAAAUUCCUCAAAAUUCCCAAAAAUUCCCACAAAAUUCCCCAAAAUCCCACCUGGAAUUGCUCAAAAUCCGCCCCUAAAUCCAGCCAGGA
rnacentral:lncRNA from 1 species